rnacentral:rRNA from 1 species
CCUACGGGAGGCAGCAGUGAGGAAUAUUGGUCAAUGGGCGGGAGCCUGAACCAGCCAAGUCGCGUGAGGGAAGACGGUCCUAUGGAUUGUAAACCUCUUUAGGCGGGGAGCAAUGCCGGGCACGCGUGCCCGGAGGGAGAGUACCCGCAGAUUAAGCAUCGGCUAACUCCGUGCCAGCAGCCGCGGUAAUACGGAGGAUGCGAGCGUUAUCCGGAAUCAUUGGGCGUAAAGAGUUCGUAGGCGGCACGUAAAGUGUGGUGUUAAAGGCCGAGGCUCAACUUCUGUACGGCACUGGAUACUGGCGAGCUAGAAUGCGGUAGAGGUAGGGGGAAUGCGUGGUGUAGCGGUGAAAUGCUUAGAUAUCAGGAGGAACAGCGGUGGCGAAAGCGCUUUACUGGGCCGGAAUUGACGCUGAGGAACGAAAGCGAGGGUAGCAAAUGGGAUUAGAUACCCGGGUAGUC